AAGAACAAGUGCUGCUAAUUAUGCUCAUUCACAUUUUUUGCUGAUAAGUCGAAGGACAUGAGAAUAAAAUGUUAGCCAUCACCUGGAUUUAAUUCUUACUACCUACUAAGUUUCUAAAGGACAGUACACAGUACAGCCUGAAGCUACGCCCUCUGUUUAAAUAGUGCCUCUGUUGUUGGUGGGAAACAAAAAGUGUCUUGCAACUUGUCUUUGAGGAAGUUACAAGAUUCUGUGUGACCGAUAAAAGAUGUUCUGCACACUAAAAGAGCUGCAUACCAGGCUGGACACUAUUGGGGACAGACAUUGGUGCCUUCUCCUCGGAUGCCUUGCCCAGAUGAAUGGGGAUGGAUGAGAGGACCAGCACAGAUGUGGGAGCCUUUAUGGACUACAUUUCCACAAGCAUCUGAAUCCUGCCUCAAACUGUCAAAGUGUGGAUGCAAAGUGGAUAAGGGAUGUAGAGGGCAGUAUGAAUGUAUGAGAGCACAGGUGUUGUGUACAGCACUGUAAAUGUUGAAGACAUUGUGAACGUGAUAAGCAUUGGAAGAACAAAACAGAAUUCUAGAAUUACAUUUCAAAUAUUGUACAUAAAAACAAACUCUGUUCCUGAGUUCCUAUCAAUCUGUCACAAUGGUCAGUCAAGUACAUAAAUUAUGUUAAAAACCAAGGGGUAAAAACCAAAGUGGAUAAUUGCCAUAGGGUCGCAUGUGAGGUUUUGAGAUUUUCAAGAGAGUCAAUGUGGAAGAAAGAUACACUGUAGCUUUUUAUUUACUCUUUGUGUAAUUCUGGAGCAAUAAUUACGUGAAAUAUGGAAAGUGCUCUCAAAUUAUUGACCAUAAUCAUUAUUUUUCAGAUCUGCAAUGGUCAUAUUGAAAACAUUAACCUUUUAAAUAAUAAUAAUAAAAAAAGAUGGUAUACGUUGCAUUAUUUGUAAUGCUUGGUUAAGUGACAGUGUUGCCAAUAACCUUAGCAGGUGCCAGGAAUCAGACCACCUGGUAUGGUUUGAAAAUUGCCUACAAUACUGCAGCAGAGUCAGGUGAGACUUAUCACUAGUUAUCAUUAUCAUUGUUCUGUUACUCCUAUGUGAAAGAAAAGAGGAAAUCAAUUAGGACUCUGCUUGUACUGCCUAUGUUUCAGGUCCUGAAAUAUGUCCUUCUAAUUAUAUAUGGAAACACACAUGUUUUUUGUACAUGGUGUAGUAAAAUGAAUGAUCAGAAAGGAAGGGGGCGGUGAACUAUAUUAGAUAUUAUCCUAUUACUUGGGAUGAUUUAACAUUUUUGUGAAAAUGCAUUUUUUUAAAUCGUUACUUUCCUGUUUGUUUUGUGGUAUGUGAUAGUGUCACUAAAGAAACAAACAUGCUAGUUUAUCAGCCAAUCACUGUCGCCUCUCACUGUUUCCAAGCGAUUUCCAUUUAUAUUUGUGCUGUCUUGAUGUGGAUACGUUUUAAAAUUACAACAUUUUGGUGAACAACAAAUGUUUCUAAAAAUAUACUGUUACAUUUGUACAAAAUGCUCCAAGCCUUGCACACAUUUGUAAAACAGUGCAUUUGUAAAAUGUGCCAAUGCUAAUUUAAUCCCAGUGCACCACUACAAUCUUAUUC